UACAGAGACUGCAAGCGUUAUUCGGAUUCACUGGGCGUAAAGGGUGCGCAGGCGGCCAAGUGUGUGAGGCGUGAAAGCCUGGAGCUUAACUCCAGAAUUGCACCUCAAACUACUUGGCUAGAGCAUUGGAGAGGGUAGCAGAAUUCAUGGUGUAGCAGUGAAAUGCGUAGAUAUUGGGAGGAACACCAGUGGCGAAGGCGGCUACCUGGACCGGUUCUGACGCUGAUGCGCGAAAGCGUGGGUAGCAAACAGG
rnacentral:rRNA from 1 species